UACGUAGGGUGCAAGCGUUGUCCGGAAUUAUUGGGCGUAAAGGGCUCGUAGGCGGUCUGUUGCGUCAGGAGUGAAAACUCGGGGCUUAACCCCGAGCCUGCUUCUGAUACGGGCAGACUAGAGGUAUGCAGGGGAGAACGGAAUUCCUGGUGUAGCGGUGAAAUGCGCAGAUAUCAGGAGGAACACCGAUGGCGAAGGCAGAUCUCUGGGCCGUAACUGACGCUGAGGAGCGAAAGCGUGGGGAGCGAACAGG
rnacentral:rRNA from 1 species